GAUGAAGAACGCAGCGAAAUGCGAUACGUAAUGUGAAUUGCAGAAUUCAGUGAAUCAUCGAGUCUUUGAACGCACAUUGCGCCCCCUGGUAUUCCGGGGGGCAUGCGUGUCCGAGCGUCAUUGCUGCCCUCAAGCACGGCUUGUGUGUUGGGCCUCCGUCCUCCUCCCGGGGGACGGGCCCGAAAGGCAGCGGCGGCACCGCGUCCGGUCCUCGAGCGUAUGGGGCUUCGUCACCCGCUCUUGUAGGCCCGGCCGGCGCUUGCCGACACAUCAAUCUUUUUUCCAGGUUGACCUCGGAUCAGGUAGGGAUACCCGCUGAACUUAAGCAUAUCAAUAAGCGGAGGA
rnacentral:misc_RNA from 1 species